GCCAGUGGUGAUAGCACUUCGAAUGCACUGAUUCUCGAUGGAUCACUGAAGUUAAGUAGCGUUGCGCAUAGUUGGUAUCCGAAUGGGUGACUAUCUGGGCAAUCGCGCUCUGUCGGCU
rnacentral:rRNA from 1 species